GGCUACGUAGCUUAGUGGUAAAGCACCGCUCUCAUGAGGCGGGGAUCGGGAGUUCAAUCCUCCCCGUAGCCA
rnacentral:tRNA from 1 species